GGGUGUGAUUAUACCAUCACUAAUGCACCUGAUCCCAUCAGAACUCCGCAUUUAAGCGUUAUUGGGCGAGAGUAGUACUAGGAUCGGUGGCCUCUUGGGAAGUUCUCUUGUUGCACCGC
rnacentral:rRNA from 2 species